rnacentral:misc_RNA from 1 species
UAGAAACGUCAUCCCCACCCUCCUAGACACGUCAUCCCCACCUUCCUCACUACUUGCGUAGGCAGUCUUCCUAGAGUGCUCAGCAUUACCUGAUGGCAACUAAGAACGAGGGUUGCGCUCGUUGCGGGACUUAACCCAACACCUCACGGCACGAGCUGACGACAGCCAUGCAGCACCUGUACAAGCUCCCCUUGCGGGACCCUGACUUUCAUCAGGAUUA